ensembl:lncRNA
GUAAGUGUCCUAUCACUAUCAAACUGUUACCAACUUUUCACGUUUUUCCUAGUACUAGACGGCGGUGAAAUGCGCACUCAGCAGUCAAGCCUGGGAGCUGGUUGUAGCCUGAAGCAACGGGUUACACGUAACCGAGCUGGGGUCUCAGUAAAACCAACAUCUUUCCUCCUUUAAACAAAAGUCAAGAGUCUAUUUAAAAAUGGGGCUAAAUAGAAGAAGGUGGGGAAGGUGCCUAACUUAAAAAACUAAGACUAAGGAGCUAGGGAGGCCCUCGACGGGACGAAGCAGUGGCAGACCCACCGGUUGCCUAAACACCUUUGCUGAGGACCCACAAGGCGGGCAGAAGAGGGAAUAUACUAGAAGAUACCUGCAGGUUGAAAUUUCUGGAGAAGGAAGAGCUAAGAGCUUGAGAGGACGAGGAGUGGGUACCAAACCAGAAUCCAAAGUCAGACUUCACUGCAUUCAGUAAUACCUUGUCAAGAAAGUUCCUGCUUUAUCUGAGAUCCCUGCUGAGUUUUCUUUCAGACUGAUUUUCCAGCCAGGUUGAAUAUAUUUGAAAAGGAAGAAGAAAAAAAAAAGAGAGAGAGAGCCUAAGGUGGCACAGUGGUGAAGAAUCCACUUGUUAAUGCAGGAGAUACCCUGGGUCAGGAAGAUCCCUGAAGAAGGAAGUGGCAACUCACUCCAGUAUUCUUGCUUGAAAGAUUCCAUGGACAGAAGAGCCUGGCAGGGUCACAGAGCCAUGGACUGGGGUCACAAGAGAGUCAAGACUCGACUGAACAGCAGCAGCAUGGCAGAACCUAACACGAGGAUAAUUAUCCUCCAAUUAAAAGUAAAUAAAAAGGAAAGCCCUCCAAUUGAUUUUGAUUUUGAAGAUUGAGAACCGUUGCCAUAUAUUAACUAUAGUUCUCAACCUUGUUCCCUCAUGGCCACUGUAAUUCCUAACAUAGUGUCCCAAACUUAGUAGAUACUUGAUUAUUUGACUUGAGAGCACAGGUAUACUUUGUCAGGGCCUGCAGCACCUGUAAGACAUCAUCCAUCUGGUAAGAGACUACGUGGGAAGAAGAGACUAAAAUGUUUGAGAUUCUUUUCUUUCCCUCUUUUAUAACACAGCUGCUUGGGAAGUCUGAACA